UACGUAGGGUGCAAGCGUUAAUCGGAAUACUGGGCGUAAAGCGUGCGCAGGCGGUUUUGUAAGUCUGUCGUGAAAUCCCCGGGCUCAACCCGGGAACUGCGUCCGAUACUGGCAGGCUUGAAUCCGGGAGAGGGAUGCGGAAUUCCAGGUGUAGCGGUGAAAUGCGUAGAUAUCUGGAGGAACACCGGUGGCGAAGGCGGCAUCCUGGACCGGCAUUGACGCUGAGGCGCGAAAGCCAGGGGAGCAAACGGG
rnacentral:rRNA from 1 species